AGUUUGAUCCUGGCUCAGAUUGAACGCUGGCGGCAUGCCUUACACAUGCAAGUCGAACGGUAACAGGUCAAGCUGACGAGUGGCGAACGGGUGAGUAAUAUAUCGGAACGUGCCCAGUCGUGGGGGAUAACUGCUCGAAAGAGCAGCUAAUACCGCAUACGACCUGAGGGUGAAAGCGGGGGAUCGCAAGACCUCGCGCGAUUGGAGCGGCCGAUAUCAGAUUAGGUAGUUGGUGGGGUAAAGGCCUACCAAGCCGACGAUCUGUAGCUGGUCUGAGAGGACGACCAGCCACACUGGGACUGUGACACGGCCCAGACUCCUACGGGAGGCAGCAGUGGGGAAUUUUGGACAAUGGGCGCAAGCCUGAUCCAGCCAUGCCGCGUGCGGGAAGAAGGCCUUCGGGUUGUAAACCGCUUUUGUCAGGGAAGAAACGCUCUGGGCUAAUACCCUGGGGUAAUGACGGUACCUGAAGAAUAAGCACCGGCUAACUACGUGCCAGCAGCCGCGGUAAUACGUAGGGUGCAAGCGUUAAUCGGAAUUACUGGGCGUAAAGCGUGCGCAGGCGGUUAUGCAAGACAGAGGUGAAAUCCCCGGGCUCAACCUGGGAACUGCCUUUGUGACUGCAUGGCUAGAGUGCGGCAGAGGGGGAUGGAAUUCCGCGUGUAGCAGUGAAAUGCGUAGAUAUGCGGAGGAACACCGAUGGCGAAGGCAAUCCCCUGGGCCUGCACUGACGCUCAUGCACGAAAGCGUGGGGAGC
rnacentral:rRNA from 1 species